rnacentral:rRNA from 1 species
AUUGAACGCUAGCGGGAUGCUUUACACAUGCAAGUCGAACGGAGUGGCGGACGGGUGAGUAAUAUAUCGGAACGUGCCCAGUAGCGGGGGAUAACUACUCGAAAGAGUGGCUAAUACCGCAUACUAUGGGAGCGGCCGAUAUCGGAUUAGCUAGUUGGUGGGGUAAAGGCUCACCAAGGCAACGAUCCGUAGCUGGUUUGAGAGGACGACCAGCCACACUGGGACUGAGACACGGCCCAGACUCCUACGGGAGGCAGCAGUGGGGAAUUUUUGACAAUGGGGGAAACCCUGAGCCAGCCAUCCCGCGUGUAUGAUGAAGGCCUUCGGGUUGUAAAGUACUUUUGGUAGGGAAGCGGUAUCUGCAGAAUAAGCACCGGCUAACUACGUGCCAGCAGCCGCGGUAAUAC